rnacentral:rRNA from 1 species
UACGUAGGGUGCGAGCGUUAAUCGGAAUUACUGGGCGUAAAGCGUGCGCAGGCGGUUUUGUAAGACAGAUGUGAAAUCCCCGGGCUCAACCUGGGAACUGCGUUUGUGACUGCAAGACUUGAGUAUGGCAGAGGGGGGUAGAAUUCCACGUGUAGCAGUGAAAUGCGUAGAUAUCGGGAGGAAUACCUAUGGCGAAAGCAGGCUUCUGGGCCGUCACUGACGCUGAUCUGCGAAAGCUAGGGGAGCAAACAGG